rnacentral:rRNA from 1 species
GACGAACGCUGGCGGCGUGCUUAACACAUGCAAGUCGAACGGAAAGGCCCUGCUUUUGUGGGGUGCUCGAGUGGCGAACGGGUGAGUAACACGUGAGUAACCUGCCCUUGACUUUGGGAUAACUUCAGGAAACUGGGGCUAAUACCGGAGAGGAGCUCCUGCUGCACGGGGGGGGUUGGAAAGUUUCGGCGGUUGGGGAUGGACUCGCGGCUUAUCAGCUUGUUGGUGGGGUAGUGGCUUACCAAGGCUUUGACGGGUAGCCGGCCUGAGAGGGUGACCGGCCACAUUGGGACUGAGAUACGGACCAGAAUGCUACGGGAGGCAGCAGUGGGAAAUAUUGCACAGUGGGCGGAAGCCUGAUGCAGCAACGCCGCGUGCGGGAUGACGGCCUUCGGGUUGUAAACCGCUUUCGCCUGUGACGAAGCGUGCGUGACGGUAAUGGGUCAAGAAGCACCGGCUAACUACGUG